UCGAGAGAUCAUCUAGUCCAGUCCCCUGCACUCAUGGCAGGACUAAGUAUUAUCUAGACCAUCCCUGAUAGGUGUUUGUCUAAACUGCUCUUAAAUCUACAUAUGGCUACGUGGACCCUCUGACCACAUACUAAACGUUCAGUUUGAAACAGCAGAGAGAGCAGUCAUAUCUUUUGAGCUACACAAAGCUGAACAAUGUUGCAAGGAAGGCUCCUCCCCAACUCUGGGGGCACAAGGACACAGAUGGUGCCUCCCUUCUCCACUACCCCACCCCCACCGUGGCUUUCGUGAAAAAGAACUCCACAGUGGAGCCAGCCAGAGACUCGUCUGGAGGAGCAGUAACAGAAGCAGCUACAGUUUUGACUGGACUUCCUCUGCUCUGUACUAAUUGGCUGUUUGCUCCAAACCUGCAUCUCCUCAUCUCAGCUUCACUCCACAACUGCCCCCCCUUUUCCUGCCCUGUCAUGCUCACUCAUCUUCCUUUCCCUUUAGCUUAUCCCCUCCUAACUCCACUCCCCUCCCCUCCCAAAAAAGUCAUGGCACUGAAGUGAUGGCUUGUGCCAUCACACUGCUUUGCAUGUUAUUCCUCCCUGCCCCCCACUCUCUGUCUGCCUGGCCUAUUUAGACUGCAAGCUCUUCGGGGGGCAGGGAUUGUCAACUACUCUGUACAGCGCUCCACUCUGCAUUGGUACUUAGGCACUGCCGUAAUAAACAUGAUUAAUAAUACUAUAUACGCAAUCUUGCAGGCAUUCUCAGUUCCGAAGCUAUUAUCAUGGUCUAACCAUUUCCUUAGUACUGUACUGAACAUGGGCAUUUAUAAAACAUUCCAAGUUUCUGAAACUUUUUAGCAGCACAGAAAAGAAAGACAAGGGCAUUUUUAUUUGACUUUUGUUCACACAAACCUUUUUACUGAAGAGUGUUAGAAUCAUGCAUGUUGACUGUUUUUGUAAAGAAUAAUAAUUCAGCUGUAAACAGUUACAAACAUAAAAGCUUAAAAAAUACUUCAAACAAGAAUAGGAACAGCAAAAAAGUUGAAUGAGCAUCUGGCUCUUUUCUUUUUAAUAAAGAAAUAUUUCAAGUUGACAUCAGUGCAUAUUAAGAAAUAGCAUACAAUGCUCUGAACACCCAAUACAUGAGCAAAUACAUAACAAUUUUCAAAAAUGUAUAAACUAAUUGCGAGAAAAAAAAUUGUGUAAGAAUAGCCAGGAGAAUGACAUUCAAAAUAAACAGGCCAGUUGCUUUGUUUCACUGACUCAAUUAUAUUCUAGAUAGUUUAACAUGAGAGAUCCAAAAUUGUAGUCAUUAGGACCUCCAAAACAACAGUAAUUCUGCUACAAGUGAGUUAAGCAGUUUGCAUUUAUUUUUGUUGUACAGUUAAGUGUUAUUCUUAACUUUUGGACUGUUACACAAAAUCAUGACACAGUGAGGAUUCAUUGUAAAUUUACAUUUCAUACGUCAAAGUCAGAUUAACAGGAGAACACUGCGUUCUGAUUGUAUCCAUUGGCCAUUAUGUUGAGAACAGCACAAGCUGUAUGAUGCACAUGGGAAGCACGUUUGCCUGUUACAUAAAAUGGCUUAUUUUUCCAUGGUUUCAGAACCUCACAACAAUACUAUUCUAAACAUUGUUCCCUGUCAUUGUUUUAAGAUGGUUCAUCAACACCUCCUGCAUAAAUGAAUGAUAUAAAUAUGUCCAGUGACAAAAUCCAUUAUGGAAGGAUAGAGAAUUGCAAACUGAAAAUUGUACUGCAUCAUUUUUAAGGUGGACUUGUAAAUAUUCUUCUAUAAAUUU